GUGUUUCCAUUUCGAAAAGCCCUUUAGUCAUCAUUUUGUUACCUUACGCUGAGGUUUCGCAGCGUUAAUUGCUAUAAGAUUGAGUCUUGAUUAUUCUAUAUUGUGAUUAGAGUUGUUGUGGUUGCUGCGUAAAAGGUUUUGAGCUAAGGUUGCAGCUGCCGCUGAUUGCGGGCCGAAAAGAAAGGGUUUCUUGAUGCGUUUGGUUUAUGGGUUUCGAUUAUUCGAGGACCCAGAGGAAGAGGCA